UACGAAGGGUGCAAGCGUUACUCGGAAUUACUGGGCGUAAAGCGUGCGUAGGUGGUUUGUUAAGUCUGAUGUGAAAGCCCUGGGCUCAACCUGGGAACUGCAUUGGAAACUGGCUUACUAGAGUGCGGUAGAGGGGUGUGGAAUUCCGCGUGUAGCAGUGAAAUGCGUAGAUAUGCGGAGGAACACCGAUGGCGAAGGCAAUCCCCUGGGCCUGCACUGACGCUCAUGCACGAAAGCGUGGGGAGCAAACAGG
rnacentral:rRNA from 1 species